AGAAACUUUCUUACAUAAGUGCAAAUCCAUUCAUCAUUUAAGUUUUAAAGAUUCUGUUCUUGUAACUUUUCUUAAAAGUUUGCUAUCAAUGAAUUUUCUCCCGUGCUUGAUUAAAUAGCGAAGGAAAUUUUAAGAUACAACACUAUUUAUUUAACUCGGAUUCUAGAGGGAUACUAUUCAGAGGCUUAUUGAAGAGGUUUUUAGCUUUGGCGUUCAGAUCCGAAUACUAGAAGUCGGUGUGAUGUGGGUCCUACCUUUCAGUACUGAUUCAAAGCAGGGUGAGCUUACUGUCAUCCGAGAGAGGUAACAAAUGGAUGCCAUAGUGGACUCAAUGGAGAAGGCAUAUCAAGAAUUUGUAACAGCAGCAGCCAUUGUGUUAGAGACAAGCGAAGCUAAUGGUGGCAAACAAGUAGAUGGUGUGGAUCCAUCUCUUGAAAGUUUCAUUCGACAUUUGCAAUUGUUCAAAGAUACUUGUGAUGAAGCACAAGAAUUUGUUGAGUAUUUGAAGAAUAGUUUAGGAUGUGGAAAAUUUCCAAGUAAUUUGUCUAAUUCUCCGGAACAGGUGUCAGAUAAUGAUCAUAGCAAUUCAACGUCGAAGACAGAUGCAAGUACAUCAAAAACUUAGAAGAACGUUCAAAUAUUUCAGACAAAUUGUUACGAAGAGCUGUUAGCCUAGAUCAUAAUGGGCAAAAUGGUUGAAGUUAAUGGAACAAUUUGCACCACUUGUUUGUUUUUUGAGAUUUUGUAAGUAAAUAAUGUUCAUAUGAUGUUUCUCAACAUUUGACUAAGUUUAAUUUAUUAUCCAUGGUUUUAUUUUAG